CCUACGGGAGACAGCAGUGAGGAAUAUUGGUCAAUGGGCGCGAGCCUGAACCAGCCAAGUAGCGUGAAGGAUGACUGCCCUACGGUUUGUAACCUUCUUUUAUAAAGGAAUAAAGUGCGGCAUGUGUGCCUUUUUGUAUGUACUUUAUGAAUAAGGAUCGGCUAAAUCUGUGCCAGCAGCCGCGGUAAUACGGAAGGUCCGGGCGUUAUCCGGAUUUAUUGGGUUUAAAGGGAGCGUAGGCCGGUCUUUAAGCGUGCCGUGAAAUUUUGUGGCUCAACCAUGAGAGUGCGGCGGGAACUGGAGACUUUGAGGGAGCGGAGGGCAGGCGGGAUUCGUGGGGUAGCGGGGAAAUGCUUAGAUAUCACGGAGGAACACGAUUGCGAAGGCAGACUGGCGAAGCGUUACUGACGCUGAAGGUCGAAAGCGCGGGUAUCGAACAAGAUUAGAUACCCCGUGUAGUC
rnacentral:rRNA from 1 species